UACAGAGGUCCCAAGCGUUGUUCGGAUUCAUUGGGCGUAAAGGGUGCGUAGGCGGCGCGGUAAGUCGGGUGUGAAAUCUCGGAGCUUAACUCCGAAACUGCAUUCGAUACUGCCGUGCUUGAGGACUGGAGAGGAGACUGGAAUUUACGGUGUAGCGGUGAAAUGCGUAGAUAUCGUAAGGAAGACCAGUGGCGGAGGCGGGUCUCUGGGCAUGUCCUGACGCUGAGGAGCGAAAGUGUGGGGAGCGAACAGG
rnacentral:rRNA from 1 species